AUGUCCACGUCCGCGGCCUCGCAGGCCAAGGAUGCGGCGGCCAAGAUGGCGGAGGCGGCCAAGGGCGACGGGGAGAAGAAGGAGGUGGCGAUUACGUCAAGGACGCUCUUUGCUUGCUCUGCUCUGCUCUGGUUUCCCCAUUUCGAUUACGUCACCGGCGAGGGGUCGUCAGAUCGUAGCCAACCAUGGAAGAUGUUCGAGUGGCAGGGUGGCCCCAUCAUCCUCGCCCAGGUGGAGACGGGUACAUGGAGUAGGCGAUGGGCGGCGGCGCCAAGCCGUACGCCAACUAGGCCACCAAGAUGGUCGUCGCCACUGACGCCAGCUUGCCGUGGGUGGUGUGCAAGCAUGACGAUGCUCCCGACGCCGCGAUUCGUGAUGGCUGCAAAAAAAUACCUGCAAUGGCUUCUACUGCAACUACUUCGGCCCCAACUCCAACAGCAAGCCUACCAUGUGGACCGAGGCCUUGCCUGGAUGUUCACGACAUUUGGUGGCGCGGUGCCGCACCGGCUGGUGGAGGACAUGGCGUUCGUGGUGGUAAGGUUCAUUCAGAAGUGCGGGUCCUUCGUCAACUACUACAUGUACCAUGGACUGGACCGCCGAUGGCCUGUUCAUCGGGACAAGCUACGACCAUGA
rnacentral:rRNA from 1 species